rnacentral:rRNA from 1 species
UUACCUUCGGGUAAUGAGGAUGGCGGACGGGUGAGUAACGCGUAAGGAACUUGCCUCUUGGACUGGGACAACUGUUGGAAACGACAGCUAAUACCGGAUAUUAUGAGAUUCUCGCAUGAGAAAUUUAUGAAAGCUAUAUGCGCCAAGAGAGAGCCUUGCGUUCCAUUAGCUAGUUGGUGGGGUAACGGCCCACCAAGGCGACGAUGGAUAGCCGGCCUGAGAGGGUGAACGGCCACAAGGGGACUGAGACACGGCCCUUACUCCUACGGGAGGCAGCAGUGGGGAAUAUUGGACAAUGGGCCACAAGCCUGAUCCAGCAAUUCUGUGUGCACGAUGAAGGUCUUCGGAUUGUAAAGUGCUUUCAGUUGGGAAGAAGAAAGUGACGGUACCAACAGAAGAAGCGACGGCUAAAUACGUGCCAGCAGCCGCGGUAAUACGUAUGUCGCAAGCGUUAUCCGGAUUUAUUGGGCGUAAAGCGCGUCUAGGCGGAAAAAUAAGUCUGAUGUUAAAAUGCGGGGCUCAACUCCGUAUUGCGUUGGAAACUGUUUUUCUAGAGUACUGGAGAGGUGGGCGGAACUACAAGUGUAGAGGUGAAAUUCGUAGAUAUUUGUAGGAAUGCCGAUGGAGAAGUCAGCUCACUGGACAGAUACUGACGCUGA